rnacentral:sRNA from 1 species
UUUUUUUUACGGGAAAAAUGUUUUCGAAUUUUUUUUUUGCGGGAUUUUUUUUUUCUAAAUUCUUUGGCGGGCAAUUUUUUUCCGAAAUUUUUUGGCGGGAAAAAUGUUUUUGAAAUUUUUUUUGGCGGGAAAUUGUUUUUCGAAAUUUUUUGGCGGGAAAUUUUAUUUUGAAAUAUUUUAGGCGAAAAAUAUUAAUAUUUUAUUUUGUUAACCUAAAUCAAUUUACAAAUAUGGGUAAAAUGGUCAUUAAAAAAUUAAAUAGGAUAUAAAUAAAAAUGGUAAACAGAAAAGGGUAGAAUUGAAAAGGGGUAGUGUGAAAAGGACAUUAGAAAGAAUUUUUCAACAUAUUAUCCAUUUUCAUCCAACAAAAAUAUAUAAAUAAAA